UACAGGGGUCUCGAGCGUUAAUCGGAAUCACUGGGCUUAAAGGGUGCGUAGGCGGAUCCGUAAGCGCUUUGUGAAAUCCCCCGGCUCAACCGGGGAAUUGCAGGGCGAACUGUGGAUCUUGAGGAAACUAGAGGCCGGUAGAACGAUUGGUGGAGCGGUGGAAUGCGUAGAUAUCAAUCGGAAUGCCAAAAGUGAAGACAGCCGGCUGGGGUUUUCCUGACGCUGAGGCACGAAAGCGUGGGGAGCAAACCGG
rnacentral:rRNA from 1 species